rnacentral:rRNA from 1 species
UACAGAGGUCUCAAGCGUUGUUCGGAUUCAUUGGGCGUAAAGGGUGCGUAGGUGGCGUGGUAAGUCGGGCGUGAAAUUUCGGAGCUUAACUCCGAAACUGCAUUCGAUACUGCCGUGCUUGAGGACUGGAGAGGAGACUGGAAUUUACGGUGUAGCGGUGAAAUGCGUAGAUAUCGUAAGGAAGACCAGUGGCGAAGGCGGGUCUCUGGACAGUUCCUGACGCUGAGGCACGAAGGCCAGGGGAGCAAACGGG